rnacentral:rRNA from 1 species
AAGCUCAAAUUUGAAAUCUGGCAGUCUUUUUUUUUCUUAUUUGGCUGUCCGAGUUGUAAUCUAGAGAAGUGCUUACCUGCACUGGACCAUGUAUAAGUCUCCUGGAAUGGAGCGUCACAGAGGGUGAGAAUCCCGUCUUUGACAUGGACCACCAGUGUGUUGUGGUGUGCUCUCAAAGAGUCGAGUUGUUUGGGAAUGCAGCUCUAAAUGGGUGGUAAACUCCAUCUAAAGCUAAAUAUUGGCGAGAGACCGAUAGUGAACAAGUACCGUGAGGGAAAGAUGAAAAGGACUUUGGAAAGAGAGUUAAACAGUAUGUGAAAUUGUUGAAAGGGAAACGCUUGAAGUCAGUUAUGUCGGUUAGGGAUCAACCUAGCUCUUUUUGCUGGGUGAAUUUCCUAGUCUGACAGGCCAACAUCAGUCUUGACUGCUGGAGAAGAGCAGAGGGAAUGUGGCACCUUUGGGUGUGUUAUAGCCCUUUGUCAUAUGUGGCAGUUGGGACUGAGGGAUGCAGUGUGCCGUGAGGCUGGGUUUUUGAACCACGUUCACGCUUAGGAUG